UACGUAGGGUGCAAGCGUUGCUCGGAAUCAUUGGGCGUAAAGGGCGCGUAGGCGGCCCGCUAAGUCGAACGUGAAAUCCCCGAGCUCAACUCGGGAACUGCGUCCGAUACUGGCGGGCUUGAAUCCGGGAGAGGGAUGCGGAAUUCCAGGUGUAGCGGUGAAAUGCGUAGAUAUCUGGAGGAACACCGGUGGCGAAGGCGGCAUCCUGGACCGGCAUUGACGCUGAGGCGCGAAAGCUAGGGGAGCAAACGGG
rnacentral:rRNA from 1 species